UUUCAGCACUAUUAUAACUCCAAAUCAGCUAUAACUAUUUCAAAAUGAAGAUGUCAUUUGUAUUUUGCAUUGUGAUGCUCUUGGUGUGGCCGACAGUGACGAGUGGAUCAUGUAGGAGUUUCUGUAUGCAGUUUGACAAGGAGCUGUUAUGUGGUAAAAACAGAAAUACCUAUUACAAUUAUUGCGAAAUGAAAGAAUGCUACAAUGGUGAGUUUGGAUAUAAAGGACAAUGUUAAAUUAUUGCGAUUUUGAGGGCAGAGAGAAAUGGUUUAUCUCAUUGGCACAGUAAAAUGUAAA